rnacentral:rRNA from 1 species
CCUACGGGAGGCAGCAGUGGGGAAUUUUGCGCAAUGCUCGUAAGAGUGACGCAGCUACGCCGCGUGAAUGACGCAGGCCUUCGGGUCGUACAGUUCUUUCGACAGGGAAGAAAAUGCCUAUAAGUAACUGUGUAUGUAUUUACGGUACCUGUAUAAGCAGCCCCGGAUAACUCCGUGCCAGCAGCCGCGGUAAUACGGAGGGGGCGAGCGUUGUUCGGAUUGACGGGGCUUAAAGGGCACGUAGGCGGUGUUGUAAGUCAUUAGUCAAAGGCUAGAGCUCAACUUUAGUAAGGCUAGUGAUACUAUAAUACUAGAGUAUCAGAGAGGAUUGCAGAAUUCCUGGUGUAGUGGUGAAAUGCGUAGAUAGCAGGAGGAAUACCGUUAGCGAAGGCGGCAAUCUGGCUGGAAACUGACGCUGAGGUGCGAAAGCGUGGGUAGCAAACAGGAUUAGAUACCCCGGUAGUC